GAUGAACGCUGGCGGCGUGCCUAACACAUGCAAGUCGAACGGAGAUUACGGACGGAAGUUUUCGGAUGGAAGACUGUAAUUCUUAGUGGCGGACGGGUGAGUAACGCGUGGGCAACCUGCCCUAUACAGGGGGAUAGCAGCUGGAAACGGCUGGUAAGACCGCAUAAGUCGGCGAGACCGCAUGGUUUUGCCGGGAAAUGAGCAAUCAGGUAUAGGAUGGGCCCGCGUCCGAUUAGCCAGUUGGCAGGGUAAAAGCCUACCAAAGCAACGAUCGGUAGCCGGACGGGGAAGUCGGACGGACACAUUGGGACUGAGACACGGACCAAACUGCUACGGAGGGCAGCAGUAGGGGGUAUUGCAGAAUGAAGGAAAAUCUGGUGCAGCGACGCCGCGUGAGUGGAGAAGUAUUUCGGUAUGUAAAGCUCUAUCAGCAGGGAAGAUGAUGACGGUACCUGGCUAAGAAGCCCCGGCUAACUACGUG
rnacentral:rRNA from 1 species